rnacentral:lncRNA from 1 species
GGAACCUCUUCCCACUGUAUUCAGUAUGCUGCACCUUCUGGAUGAGAGUGGUGUGCAUACCUACAGGUCUGUUCGAGGCUGCCUGUGUGCAAUACGUCUCUGACAGCACCAUGAAAAUCGUCUUCUUCAACUGCAAGCCCUCCAUGGUUAUAUGACACUGUGCAGGGCAUACACUCAGUCAUUUCAGAUCUUUCUGAUGAACUCAUCACCAGGCCUCCACUCAUGGACUUACUCACCCAGCAUCUUCAGCCUGGCUGCACUCAGGUGGCAGUGCUCUCCCCUGUAUCAGAGCUGAGGGCCUCCACCAAGCACCACGAGCCCUCCUGUCUGGGUGACUACAUCUUCCAAGUCUGUUCCCUAGAUCCACGCCCUCGGAGACCCCUUCAGCAGCAGUGUCACCCUGCUGGACCCCUUUGCCCCGCUCUUCCCCCAACAUCCCAGCCCUGUAUGUGCUGA